UGACAUCGACGUGCUCAUGCUUGUGCUUGAGGCAUUUUCUUGGAUAAGGCAAACUCACGCGAGAACCAA